CCUGGUUUCCUUGAGGUGGUAAAGGGAGGCGGAAAUUGGAGAAAUGGAGAGUGGUUUAAUUUAUGGUCACAUUAGAAGGGCAGCUGUUUAACUUCAAUGCAGGGAUGCCCAUCCAGAAGACUGGGCCAUAAAUUUAAAGAUGCAACAAAUGGGAAAAGAGGAAGCUGUUAGAUAAGGAAUGUGAAGAUUCCCCCACUCAGUAACAAAUUGAGUGAGACAGCCGAGAACUGACCAAUCACAGAGAGACUGGGGCAGCUUUAGAAUAAUGAGGGAAAAAAAGGUAUAUAUUCCCUAAGACACGACUCCACUUUGGCUUCCUUGCCCCUCCCAGGCCUGGUUCCCUGGCCUGGGAGUCCCACUUUAUUUCUGUUCUUUUUCUCCUCAAUAAACUUUUUCUUUUUCUAAACAAACUGCCUCUUCUCGCUUGCUUGCCUGAGCGUCUGCGAAGUUCCUGCUGCGGCUUCGUGAGACACCAACCUGUGGGGGGUCUAGCGGCUGGGGCUCAGCACUGCCCUGCAGCCUGGAAUCCGUUCCUGGCUGGGAGACUAGGCCUGACAAUUCCGGUAUCAACAGGAAGAAGGGGGUGAGGUGGAAGAGGGUGUGACCAAGUGAGUUUCUGAGAGAGAAUGUAGAAAAAGCAGGUUUCAUGAGCAGAGAGAUGGCCACUACCACAUUUCCUGAUGAGGGGCAGAUACAUGUGUUAGACACCCUGGGUCUGGCUUCAUGUAUACUUAGUGUGAAAUCAUGAGUUACCUUUUAAAUCAGUUUUGAGCAUGUCUGUGUUAGUUUAGGCUCUCAACAAAGCAGAUAUUAGGAUGGGAUUAGAUUUGUAAGAGAUUUAUUGGUGACAUGUCAGCGAGGGGACAGGGAGAGGAGGCCACAUGAGGCAGGAAGAGCUGUAAGACUGAGAUGCAGGUCUGACCUCUAGGAAAGGUUCGGGGGUGGGGGGCAAGCUACUAUUGCCUCUGUCACUGCAGUUGAUCUCAGGGCUGUGCUGGCACACACCCCCCCCCUUUACUUUGCAUGCUAAUUACUCCUCACCCUCAGUUGUCAUGACAUUAGGUGUUGGAGACUGACCUGUAUUAUGACCCAAAUUCCCUAGGGUUCCAAAGCCCUUGAUAGUCACUCUCUGGCUGAGGUUGCUGCACAUGUACAUUCAGCAGUUUCCUCUGGAGGCCUGUAUCUUUUACCUUGCAGAGUCCACAGUUACUAGAUGAAAACACAAAAUUUCCCGAUGGGUCAAUAGGAAUGAUGUUUCCUGUGAUCAUAGCCAGUAGCCACGCAGAGAGGGCCUGAUGCCAUACUGUGCUGUAUCUAUUUUCAAGAUCAGCACUCAAUCUCAGAGGAGAGGAACAUAUUUCCUUGACUUGAGGGAGAGAAGCCCGACAACUGGAGAGGGCCCAGUGCGAAGGAGAAUGAAACUAGAAGAUACAAUGACAGGAGCCUCAUGGUUUCAGCUUGAGAAUUCUGAAUCUCAUGAAGAAAACUACUAUGGGGAGAUAUGGAUUGCAGUCUAAGCUGUUCCAGGACUCCUGGGCAGAGAGAGGCUUCCAUCCCCCACUCCCCUGAGAUCACAAGUUACAGGCCCUUUGUUAACUCCAAGAGCAAAUUGUUGAAAAUGGCCACAAAAAGAAAGCCAGGAGUAGGCUAGGUUUCAGGCAUCAGUGCUGUAUGAUCUUCGCUGUUCUUCCUGGUGAGCCAACAAACAGAUGAUCCACGUGGGAGAGAGGCUCCUCCAAACAGAGGGAAGCCUGGACAAAUCCCCCUUCUCACAUUGUCCUUCUCCUCCUCCUGUGGACUCAAUCUCUGAUGCUCCUCCCACUCUUCUCUUCUUGAAAGCCACGCCCCUUGUAGUCUCUAUAAGAUCUGAACCCCAGGCACCCCAGAAUUGCAGAAACUGGCCUGCACUCUCCAGAGACCAAGCUGGAAGCCCAGGUGCGGCCUCCAGGGGAGCGCGACCACCAUGGCUCUG